UAGCGCCUGAGUCGAUAUGAAGUUGAACUGAAGCAAACACUACACCGGCAUCCUCCAGUUCAACUUCAUAUCGACUCAGGCGCUA